rfam:Heterocephalus glaber contig31888, whole genome shotgun sequence.
GGCGGUGUAGCUCAGUAGUAGAGCUCUUGCCUAGCAUGUAUGAGGCACUGAGUUUAAUCCCCAGCAGUACCC